AUGGACUCCGCCGAUUGGGGCCUCGAGGCGGUCGUGAGGAGCUGCGGCGGCUCGACCGUAGUUCCCGGCUCGGAGGCAGAGCCAGAGCCUACAGCGGCGCGGGCGCGGGCUCGCCGGGGAGUCGUCACCAGUGUGGUUUCCUCCCUGGAGUUCGUCGGGCGACGGAUGAAGGCGGCAUCCUCCUCGUCGUCGUACGACGUCCUGGAGCCGCCUCGGCCGCCAUUCUCCAUCACGCUGUCGUCGACGUCCCGUGAGCGCAACGUCUUCAUCUCCUUGCUGUCUGCCUUGACGUCCGGGCAGACGCUGCCGGGGAGGAAGCAGACUGGCCGGAAACCGGGCGUUGGCACCCCCACUCCCAGGCAGCGGAAAACAAGCAGGAAGAAGGUGGUGCGGUUGGUGCCGGUCGAACACGGCGGCGUCAACAACGGCACCGUCGACGACCUGUGGGCGUGGCGCAAGUACGGCCAGAAACCUAUCAAGGGCUCCCCGUAUCCUCGAGCGUACUACAAGUGCAGCAGCCUCAGGGCGUGCACGGCGCGGAAGCUGGUGGAUCGCAGCCGGGCCAAGCCCGAGAUGCUCAUCGUCACGUACAUCGACGACCAUUGCCACGCUGUGCCCGUGCCGAUCAACACGCUCCCCGGCACGGCGCACCACCCACCCAAGUCACCGCGCGGCACGACGACGUCAGGCGAGGCGGUCUCAGCCAGGCGCCAGGUGGACGACGCCGACGUAACGUCUUGCAUCGCUGCGGAGUGGGCGGACGACAAGUCCAAGCUCCCGGAACCCGUGGGGCUGGACGAUUUCUUCGGCUCUUUCGACAACACCGUGUUUUCGAGGAAGUGGGCGACCACGUUUGACGACGACAGGUUUCUUCCCUGUAGUUUGUGA
rnacentral:rRNA from 1 species